AGGGUUUGAUUCUGGCUCAGGACGAACGCUGGCGGCGUGCCUAACACAUGCAAGUCGAGCGGGGAUGCUGAGGAGUGUAAACUAGGAAGCAUUCUAGCGGCGGACGGGUGAGUAACGCGUGAGCAACCUGGCUUUCACAGGGGGAUAACGCAUCGAAAGAUGUGCUAAUACCGCGUAAGACCACAGUGCCGCAUGGCACAGGGGUCAAAGGAGAGAUCCGGUGAGAGAUGGGCUCGCGUCCGAUUAGCUAGUUGGUGAGAUAACAGCCCACCAAGGCGACGAUCGGUAGCCGACCUGAGAGGGUGAUCGGCCACAUUGGAACUGAGAGACGGUCCAG
rnacentral:rRNA from 1 species